rnacentral:lncRNA from 1 species
AGAGCUGGAGCCGGAGCCGGGCGGGCGCCAUGGAGGGGCUGCGGCGGGGGCUGUCGCGCUGGAAGCGCUACCACAUCAAGGUGCACCUGGCGGACGAGGCGCUGCUGCUACCGCUGACCGUGCGGCCGCGGGACACGCUCAGCGACCUGCGCGCCCAGCUGGUGGGCCAGGGCGUGAGCUCCUGGAAGCGCGCCUUCUACUACAACGCGCGGCGGCUGGACGACCACCAGACGGUGCGCGACGCGCGCCUGCAGGACGGCUCGGUGCUGCUGCUCGUCAGCGACCCCAGCGAGGCGCAGCGGCUCACACCCGCAAUCCCAGCACUUUGGGAGGCUGAGGCAAGCAGAUCACUUGAGUCCAGGAGUUCAAGACCAGCCUGGCCAACAUGGUGAAACCCCAUCUCUACUAAAACUACAAAAAUUAGCCGGGCAUGAUGGCGCAUGCCUGUAAUCCCAGCUACUGGGGAGGCUGAGGCAAGAGAAUCGCUUGAGUCUGGGAGGCGGAGGUUGCAGUGAGCUGAGAUCGUGCCAUUACACUCUAGUCUGGGUGACAGGGUGAAACUCCGUCUCUAAAGAAAUAAAUAAUAAAAUUUUAUUUCACGCCAUCCCUGCUUUCUCUCUUUCCCCAUCACUUGUCAGCAGCCGACUUCUCUACGUUUUACUUAUUUUUUUCACCUGUCUCCUGCAGUAGACUGUAAACUCUGUGAGGGUACUGCCGUCCAUCUUGUUCCCUGCUGGAUUGCCAGUUCAGUGCCUGGCACAUAGUAGGUGCUUAAUAAAUGUUAGUGAGAUGUAUUGUCUCACUAACAUAAUCGUGAGCAGAGGCAAGGAUUGGGCUGCUCAGAAUAUUUUUCUGGAGCUCUAGCGGUGCCUGGAUGC